AUUGAACGCUGGCGGCAUGCCUUACACAUGCAAGUCGAACGGUAACGCGGGGCAACCUGGCGACGAGUAGCGAACGGGUGAGUAAUGCAUCGGAACGUGCCCAGUAGUGGGGGAUAGCCCGGCGAAAGCCGGAUUAAUACCGCAUACGACCUACGGGUGAAAGCGGGGGACCGUAAGGCCUCGCGCUAUCGGAGCGGCCGAUGUCAGAUUAGGUUGUUGGUGGGGUAAAGGCCUACCAAGCCGACGAUCUGUAGCUGGUCUGAGAGGACGACCAGCCACACUGGGACUGAGACACGGCCCAGACUCCUACGGGAGGCAGCAGUGGGGAAUUUUGGACAAUGGGGGCAACCCUGAUCCAGCCAUGCCGCGUGCGGGAAGAAGGCCUUCGGGUUGUAAACCGCUUUUGUCAGGGAAGAAACGCUCUGGGCUAAUACCCUGGGGUAAUGACGGUACCUGAAGAAUAAGCACCGGCUAACUACGUGCCAGCCGCCGCAGUAA
rnacentral:rRNA from 1 species